rnacentral:lncRNA from 1 species
AGAGGGAGGAGUUAAGGAGACAGACAGAGAGAGAGAGAGAUCUGAGGAGAAGAGGGAGAACCAAAAUGGAGGCUGACGUGGUGUUAUCAAAGUGGAGUGACCAGGGCUGACAGGUAUUCUGACAUCUGCUCCCUGAGAGGUGACGUGGGAAGUCCUGCACUGUGAGUCCAUUGAGUAGGACACACCCAGGCCUCUUCUUUUCUCCAGGAUAUGUGCAAGAUGAGAGCCAGCCAUCGUCUCCUGAUAGUGGAGAUUUGAUCUGAAGCAUUCAAAUAGGAAAUGAAUGCUCAGAGGAAGCUUCAAAUUUCUUUCUACUUGAAGAAGCUGAAUUGCAGAAGCUAUCUCUGUCCUGUUAAUCACCGGGUCCACAGUGAAACCAGCCAACUUCAGAGAGUGAGUUAAAAGAGAGACUCUUGUGCUGCGUGACCCCUGACUGUAACCAAGUGUCCUUCUCUCUGAGACGUUCCCUCGGAGCUUGUUCUCACAGCCCUCACCUCCAGUGACCUCCACGAACUUUUCCACACGAGGGGUUCUCUGCUUCCCUCCAUCUGAGCUGCGCAAUUCCACCAGGCCUUUUGCUCCUCUUCAGUCAGGUGCUUUGGAGGUAAUGAAGUCUUUCGGGGGAAAAAUAAACAAAGGAAAUGCACCCGGUUGAUGUCAAUGGACUUGUUUAACUAUUUAAGGCCACUGUCUCCAAGUGUAAGUGUGCUGCGGUGUGUUUUGUAAAGUAGCGCUUAUAAUCCACUGAGCUUUCCAAACAGCCCUCUUGCCUAUUAAGCCUGCAUUGAGAAGUGGGUUUAAUUUGCCAGAGUAGUUUUUUGUGAUAAUUACAGGACUUGCAGAUUAGCUUGAGUGACUUGGCAAGGUUCUGUAGCUAAUAAAAAAUCACACAGGAAAAAAAUUGUAACAUUCAAUUGCUUCAAGGUUCUUCACGAGAGAAACAUUAAACAAACCUGAUAGGCCAGUUUCCAGUCUGUGAAGGGACUUGGAGGCAAGCCGGGAGAGAGGGAGGAGAAAGAGAUCGCCAUGAUGGGGAAGAAGGAAGAGGAGACCUAAAGGCCAGCUGACAUGUGAGAAUCAGGGAAAGUGGCCACACGGGCCACUUCCACAGCUGUGUUUGAGGACCAACGGUACUGUUGCUCUAGCUACAGGAAUAAUCCUGGGCAGCACUUGUUGACCUUGGUCACUGUCAAGGGAAGAUCGGCUGUUCCCACUGAGGGCAUCUUGAUGGAUUAAGGUGAUCAGCUGAUCAAUGUGAGGGGACAGAUGGGAGCUAGGAACUGUCUCGGUACUGAGUCAUUUUUCAUCUAAUGUGCAAGAAACCCAAAGAGCACAUCAAACAGCGAACUACGCCUAAGCUAUCCAUGUUUCUCCUGCUUCUUCUGAGAGGGUGAUUUACACGUAGCUCAACACUCGAGUGUUGCAGUAUCGAGUGACUGCAACCAAACAAUGGAACAUGCAUCGUGCCUGUUGACAGAGCCUGCAGUUGGCUUGGAACCGGGACCAUGCUGCAUUCGACAUCGUUCCUGGUGGCUGACUUGUUCCCAUAGAAUUAAAUGCUAGGCAUCCAGAAGCUGACUGUGCAUCUGAUGGGCUCACUAACAUUCAGGAACAGGUUGGCCUCAGACUUCAUCAAUGGAAAGUGAGCUGAAGUCUUUCUGUUUACAAAUUUGCCAAUUUCCUUUGAGGAAGCUUGAUCACGGAGCUCUUCUGCAUCAGGUGAUUGAUGCCCUGCAGGUACUUCAAGCAACAUCAUGCAUAUCAAACCUGCCCUCUGCCUGGACUGUUUACAGCUGCCUUUUUGCUAGCUGAACUGCCUGACACUUCGGCUCAAAGACUCAUUUAUCACUGAGGGCGCAUGCCGUUAUCUGAGCACCUUCCGAAGCAUCACACGCCAUCUCUAGACUUCCUGGGAUUGUCUACGGAUACAACACUUGCUCUCAUAAGUUGGUUACAUAAACAUAAAAGAAUGAACUUUAAACUAAAAUUUCUGACUUUUAUCUCUUUGCAGUGUAGGCAUAGGACAAAAAAAAGAGCACGUUUGAAAGACUACAUUUUCAUGAAAUUGGAAAUGCUACAUGCAAGCUGCAGAUGCUGAUUGCAGAGUCAGAAGACAUGGCCGUCAGUGUUAGGACUCUGCCUUAUUCUGCUAUUUCUCCUUGACGACCUACAGUUUGCAUUGUGGGUGGCAUUCAUUAACGAGGGCAGUAAAAACAUGGAGAAAACAUUGCAAGCUCUCCUUCGUGUUUCGCUCACUGGCCAAGUAGCUAACCAACUAGGUGUUCAGGCUCCCAUGUGUCUCAAUAUGAUGUGGCUCCUUCCAGUAGCAACCAUCCUGAGCAGAGACCUUUGUUCUAAUUUAAAAAUUAGACAUGAUAUAGAGCUUACCACACAUUUUUCCCCCUGAAGAUUAAAGAUCUUCAUGAAGGUACUGGCUUAAAAGACAUCAACCCCAAGCCUUUCGAAGGAUAUGCACUUGAGAUUGCCAUACUCGAUGGUGCGUCCAAUUAACUUAGAAAUACCCUUGACAUUUCUCAUCCGUGAAGAGAAGCUUUAGGUGACAGUUUUCAUGGUGUGGGUACUCUCGGUGCCUAAUUUGCUUUUUUUUCUUGUUUUCAAGCCUGAAAGGGAAAUAGCCUUGGCUUUCAGCUCUGGAGCGCGAUGCCCUCCUUACGAGUAUUCAGCUACUGUCUGAACCAUUGUACUUGCCUUCCCCUCCAUACCCCUUUUUCCCCAAAGUCCCGUUGAUAGCUCAUU